GAUGAACGCUGGCGGCGUGCCUAAUACAUGCAAGUCGAGCGAACAGAUAAGGAGCUUGCUCCUUUGACGUUAGCGGCGGACGGGUGAGUAACACGUGGGUAACCUACCUAUAAGACUGGAAUAACUCCGGGAAACCGGGGCUAAUGCCGGAUAACAUUUAGAACCGCAUGGUUCUAAAGUGAAAGAUGGUUUUGCUAUCACUUAUAGAUGGACCCGCGCCGUAUUAGCUAGUUGGUAGGGUAACGGCUUACCAAGGCAACGAUACGUAGCCGACCUGAGAGGGUGAUAGGCCACACUGGAGCUGGGACAGGGUCCAGACUCCUACGGGAGGCAGCAGUAGGGAAUCUGCCGCAAUGGGCGAAAGCCUGACGGAGCAACGCCGCGUGAGUGAUGAAGGUCUUCGGAUCGUAAAACUCUGUUAUUAGGGAAGAACAAAUGUGUAAGUAACUGUGCACGUCUUGACGGUACCUAAUCAGAAAGCCACGGCUAACUACGUG
rnacentral:rRNA from 1 species